rnacentral:tRNA from 1 species
GCCUUCGUAGUAUAGCCUGGUCAGUAUAGGCGGCUGUGGACAACAAGAUUGAAUAUUGUUGGAAGAAACCGCUCGAGGAGGGUUCAAAUCCCUCCGAAGGCC